rnacentral:rRNA from 1 species
AUUGAACGCUGGCGGCAGGCCUAACACAUGCAAGUCGAGCGGGGUUUUCGGACCUAGCGGCGGACGGGUGAGUAAUGCGUAGGAAGCUACCCGAUAGAGGGGGAUACCAGUUGGAAACGACUGUUAAUACCGCAUAAUGUCUACGGACCAAAGUGUGGGACCUUCGGGCCACAUGCUAUCGGAUGCGCCUACGUGGGAUUAGCUAGUUGGUGAGGUAAUGGCUCACCAAGGCGACGAUCUCUAGCUGGUUUGAGAGGAUGAUCAGCCACACUGGAACUGAGACACGGUCCAGACUCCUACGGGAGGCAGCAGUGGGGAAUAUUGGACAAUGGCGCAAGCCUGAUCCAGCCAUGCCGCGUGUGUGAAGAAGGCCU